CUCAGCGAUGCCGGCGGCUCACCGCAGUGAUGCUCUUUGGCCACAGGAGACCAGGCUGGCUGUGGUUUCUCUGCCGCGGAUAAGUUCUGUGUGCGGGGAACAUAGCUGAAGAACUACCUGGAUGCCCCUGUGACCCUGGGAUAUACCUGCCACCACCUUACGGCCUCUGGAAUGGGGCUGCUGUUUCCUCAAUUGAAAUCUCUUCCCCCAAGUGGAAGCAGAAACAACUCCCAACUCAUAUAUACGAUCAUCACACAAAUGCUGGCACCUGGACCUCUCACACAUUUCUAAUGAGAAGGUAAAAUGGUACACUCAUUCUGGAAAGCAGUUUGGCAUUUUCUUUAAAAACACAAAA
rnacentral:lncRNA from 1 species